AUGGGCUCCCAGACCCAGCUCCUCUGGCUCCUGGUGAUGGCCUCUCAGGGCUGCAGGGGGCAGAUCGUCCUGACUCAGUCUCCAGAGACCCUGCCAGCAUUUCAUGGCGCCUUUGUCUCCAUCACCUGUCAAAGCAGUAUGGAGGUGGGUUCCUCCAUGGCCUGGUACCAACAGAAGCCCAACGAGGCCCCCAGGCUGCUCAUCUUUGGGGCUUCUGCGCUAGCUGCCAAGACCCCAUCCAGAUUCCGGGGAAGUGGCUACGGCUCUGACUUCUCCCUCUCCAUACAUGGGGUGGAAGCUGAAGAUGUUGGGGUGUACUAUUGCCAGCAGCACUUCAGCCGGCCUCUCACAGUGACAGGACCCUGUCAUAAACACCCUCUCUGCUAUGGCUGCCUGGACAGGAGCAGACACCUGCUUCCUCCAGGGGCACCCGGGGGGAUGUGA